AUUGAACGCUGGCGGCAGGCCUAACACAUGCAAGUCGAACGGUAACAGGAAGAAGCUUGCUUCUUUGCUGACGAGUGGCGGACGGGUGAGUAAUGUCUGGGAAACUGCCUGAUGGAGGGGGAUAACUACUGGAAACGGUAGCUAAUACCGCAUAACGUCGCAAGACCAAAAAGGGGGACCUUCGGGCCUCUUGCCAUCGGAUGUGCCCAGAUGGGAUUAGCUUGUAGGUGGGGUAACGGCUCACCUAGGCGACGAUCCCUAGCUGGUCUGAGAGGAUGACCAGCCACACUGGAACUGAGACACGGUCCAGACUCCUACGGGAGGCAGCAGUGGGGAAUAUUGCACAAUGGGAGCAAGCCUGAUGCAGCCAUGCCGCGUGUAUGAAGAAGGCCUUCGGGUUGUAAAGUACUUUCAGCGGGGAGGAAGGGAGUAAAGUUAAUACCUUUGCUCAUUGACGUUACCCGCAGAAGAAGCACCGGCUAACUCCGUG
rnacentral:rRNA from 1 species